rnacentral:rRNA from 1 species
GUAGGUGGCAAGCGUUGUCCGGAAUUAUUGGGCGUAAAGCGCGCGCAGGCGGUUCUUUAAGUCUGAUGUGAAAGCCCACGGCUCAACCGUGGAGGGUCAUUGGAAACUGGAGAACUUGAGUACAGAAGAGGAAAGCGGAAUUCCACGUGUAGCGGUGAAAUGCGUAGAGAUGUGGAGGAACACCAGUGGCGAAGGCGGCCUUCUGGUCUGUAACUGACGCUGAGGCGCGAAAGCGUGGGGAGCAAACAGGGAUUAGAUACCCUGGUAGUCCACGCCGUAAACGAUGAGUGCUAAGUGUUAGGGGGUUUCCGCCCCCUUAGUGCUGCAGCUAACGCAUUAAGCACUCCGCCUGGGGAUACGGCCGCAAGGCUG